rnacentral:lncRNA from 1 species
GAGACCGCUACCAAUUCGGUACGGUUCGGGCGCGGCGAGCGGACCGCCGAACGGACAGCACCUCCCCUGUCCGCCCAAGGCUCAAACGACGAGAUUGUGUACAACAAGUUCCCAGGAAAACAACUUGAAUACAUACACAAUCAUUCAACAACAACGAAAGCACAAACAAUGCUAUGCGAUACGAGAGCAAGCAUCACGAGUAAUACAACCAUACAAGUAAAUGAAAGAGAGAUAUACUUAACUACUAAACUCAUUUAACUUUAUACAAUUAUUACAAUUUGCAUUCUUCCAAACCCGUACAAUAUAUAUACAAUCAUCUCAAAACCUCACCCUAUACAUCGAUCUACUCUCAAAAUAGGUACAAUGUAACUCUAGUGCAAAUAGGAAAGUAAACUACUAUACCUCUAGGGCACUAUGCCCUUACCGCGAUCCUCACCGGGGGCGCUCGAGCUCGGACCUGCAACAUGGUGGAGUGAGAACUACGAAUAGUUCCCAGUGGGUUCGGCCGCCGACUCCGCCGAUCUCCCCACUAGGUCUAAGCAGGCAUAGAGAGACACUAGAUAGGUAGAUAGAUAUUUGGAAUUGAAAGCAUUACUGAUAAUUAAACAAGUAAACAUCUAACUAUGCCUCAAUCCGACGUAAUGCAUGCAUGAUAAUCAUAGUAAAGGUUGACUACUAGUCUACUAUGUUCAACAAUGAAGUUAUUCAUUAGAUCACCCAAUCUCUCGGCUAAACCGAGGUUCGCUCUGAGUCUCACGUGUGUAAGCCUCAUAGGGGCGAAGUCCAGCUGCUUGACUAGCCCCGAGACCGCCUACGGACAGAUACGUUAGUCCAAGGGCAAGUACGUUAGCCCCCUCGUGUGACAACCUCCGGAGUGCACUACCUGUGUGGAGCUACCACCUCAGGUACAGACAGGCUAAGUGAGCUCGAUCCAAUCUCAUGAACUGGGAACACCCUACCAACUAGGGUUGGUCUCAACAUAGAAUCAAAGUAUUCUAGUUCUCAAUCUCAUAGUGUUCGGCUACACUAAGGUUUUCAUGUUCCAUAUCAACUAGAUGCCACUCGUUCUGUGUUCAUUGGUGACUAGAUGCCACUCGUUCUCAAUACACUAGUUUACAAUAUACUAGGUUCUUAUUCACAUAAACAUGCUCAUCUCAUAUAGGGUUAACUUCCUCACAUUCAACUCAUGCAUACUAGGUUCUCAUUCACUAUAUUCACAAAACCAGACUAACACUAGCAUGCAAUAAGAUGUAACAAUUGCAUUUAACACCCUAUAAUGCUAUAUUACAAUAUGCACUUGAUCAAUAUGAAAACUUAGACAUAGGGAGAAGUUCAACUGCUUCGGGAUGGCACUCCCCCACCUUUUGGUAGCGCCGUAAAGCUAGAAAACUCGACGUCGCGGUCCUCGCACGUCGCUUCACUCGGGGCAAAAUGAACCCACAAGUACUUGUUUCGGCGAUAUCUUCGCACUCGCUUGUCGGAUCGACGAACCAUCUUUGCCAACGCAUUUAUAGACCUAGCAAUUAGGUUUACGACCCAUCAAAAUAGAUCAAAACCUUAGAUUUUCAAAAAUCCCAAAACGUGCCCUAGAAUGGCAACGAGGGAGAAAUCUAUGGUUCGAGCUUCGAAUCUGUGCUAGAACCAUCUAUUUAACUCCUCUAGGUUCCAUUCAAAUCAUUUCUAAGCAACAAAACCCAAUCUCAAGAAAUCCACCAUGGAUGGGUUUGGAGCUUACCUCUACACCAAGCUCCAAGCUUGCUCUUGCUUGAGGGAGAGAGAAGAAGAAGAUGAUCUCUUUCUUCUUCUUAGUCUUCUCCUUCAACUCCUUCUUCUUCUCUUUCUUCCUUCCCUUCUUCUCUUCUUCUUUUCCUUUCGUUCUAGAGAGAGAGGGAGAGAGAAAAAGAGGGCAAAUGAGACAAAUGGGAGAGAGAGAGGUCCCCCACCUCUCAUAUAGGCCAUUUUGCAGAUAGCCCCCUCAACUUUUCGUCCUCUGAAGCAGCCCUCACUGGGCAUUUUCGCAGUGAGGGACCGGUCCCAAGUCGGGGAGACCGGUCCCUGAGAGCCUACCACUUAGGCAGAGGGGAUUUCGCAUUCGGGAACCGGUCCCUGCCUGAGAGACCGGACCCCGGGAGACCGGUCCUUGCCUGAGAGACUGGUUCCCGAGAGUGGUAUUUUCGGGACUUAGCCAAAUUUCGGCCUCUUCUCGCUGGGUUAACGUUCGGGAACCGGUCCCUCCUUGCCAGAGACUAGUUGCCUCAAGGAUCCCUGCCAGCCCAGCCAAUGGGACCGGUUCCUCCCUGCCAGGGACCGGUCCCCGAGAGCAAUUCUGCUCCAGUGCAAAAUUUGCACUGCUGCUCUCGCGGACUCUUCCUUAAUGCACUUUAUGCAUUUUAAUCAUCUUCGGACUUUCCGAAGCCUACCCACUCGACAGUCAGUCGAUUCUAAACGAAGUCAAAUCCUCGAAUUUCGAUAAUUCACUUCCCUUACAUCCUCCCCACCUUACAAGAGUUUCGUCCUCGAAACGAACUCGACAAUAUUAAACUCAUCGAGAAUUUAAACUUUAGGUCCAUACCUCAAUUUAAUCCUCAAAUAAGUGAGGGUGAUGCAUCAUCAUCUCGCUCUCGAGCUCCCAAGUGGCUUCGCGAUCACUAUGAUCGCUCCACCGAACUUUAACAUAGGGGAUUUCUCGAUUCCUCAACUUGCGCACCUCCCGAGCCAAUAUCAUCACCGGAAACUCCUCGUAGCUCAUAUCUUCUUGCAGUUCCGGCGGCUCAUACACCAAGACAUGCUCAGGAUCAUGCAUAUACUUGCGGAGAUUGGAGACGUAGAAUACAUUGUGCACACCUGCAAGCUUGGGUGGCAAUGCUAGUCGGUAAGCCACUGUCCCAACCCGCUCCAAAAUCUCGUAGGGGUCGAUAUAACGAGGACUCAGCUUUCCUCGCACCCCAAAUCUUUUCACGCCUCUCAUCGGCGAAACCUUCAAAAACACGCGGUCACCCACCGCGAACUCCAAAUCUCUACGGCGCUUAUCUGAAUAACUUUUCUGUCGGGACUGCGCCGUGAGCAAUCUCUUGCGAGCAAGGUGGACUUUCUCCUCCGCCUCUCGCAACACGUCGAGACCGAAUUCCACUCGCUCACCUACAUCACUCCAAUGAAUGGGAGAUUGGCACUUCCGCCCAUAAAGAGCCUCGAACGGUGCCAUUCCCACACUCGCGUGAUAACUGUUGUUGUAGGCGAACUCGACCAUCGGCAGGUGCUUACACCAACUCCCCUUAUAAUCAAUGGCACACGCCCGCAACAUAUCCUCUAGGGUCUGGAUGGUUCUCUCGGUCUGCCCAUCAGUCUGAGGAUGAAACGCGGUACUAAACUCGAGUCGCGUGCUAAGGGCUUCCUGCAGGCUUCUCCAAAAGUGUGAAGUGAACUUGGGGUCUCGAUCUGACACAAUCUACUUCGGCACCCCAUGCAGCCUCACCACCUCAUCAAGAUACACUUGCGCUAGCUUCUCGCCUGCCCAAGUGUUGUGGAUCGGCAGGAAGUGUGUCGAUUUCGUCAAACGAUCCACAAUCACCCAAAUUACAUCGUAGUCACCCGUCGAACGAGGUAAGUCGACGACGAAAUCCAUCGAUAUGUCUUCCCAUUUCCAGACGGGAAUAGAUAAACUCUAUAGCUUCCCCGCUGGAAACCGACGCUUUGCUUUCAUCUGUUGGCAUAUCAAACACUUCGCCACAAAGCGCCCAAUAUCAGCUUUCAUUCCCGGCCACCAAUAAAGCAUCUUCAACUCGUGAAACAUUUUGGUGCCGCUCGGCUGGUUCACGUAAGGUGACCAAUGCGCUUCUUGCAAAAUCAGUGUGCGAAGCUCCUCGUCGUUUAGCACACACCACCGGUUUCGAAACCGAAGUGCACCGCUAGCAUCCACGCUAAAAUCUCCACUACGGCCACUUUCAACAUCGUGCCGCACCUUCUAAAGAGUCGGGUCCGCAGAUUGCAGAUUCUUGAUCCUCUCCAAUAAGGUCGGUUGGACCACCAACAUCAUCAACCUAGCCGGAGUUUCUGGAGCCACCACCUCAAGAUCUAUCUUCCCCAUUUGCAGCCAUAGGGGUGUCUGAUUUGUAACCCACGAGGCGAGGUUCUCCGCGGAUUUUCGGCUAAGUGCAUCCGCGACUACAUUCGCUUUCCCGGGGUGGUAAAGGAUAUCAAUAUCGUAAUCCUUAAGCAAUUCCAACCACCGCCGUUGCCGCAUAUUCAACUCCUUCUGAGUAAAUAAAUACUUUAGGCUUUUAUGGUCGGUGUAGAUCUCGCAAUGAGCACCAUAUAGAUAGUGUCUCCAAGGCUUUAAAGCAAAGAUCACCGCCGCCAAUUCCAAAUCAUGUAUGGGAUAGUUCUUUUCAUAGCUUUUUAAUUGACGGGAUGCAUAAGCAAUCACCCUCCCGCCUUGCAUCAGCACACACCCCAAACCCAGAUAGGACACGUCGCUAAAAACGACGUAAUCUUCACCCUGCACCGGUAAGGCGAGUACCGGAGUAGAAGUUAAUCUUUCCUUCAACUCUUUAAAACUCCGGUCACAAUCGUCGCUCCAAAUAAAUCUGGUGCCCUUCUGCGUCAGACGGGUGAGUGGAGUCACGAUCUUCGAGAAUCCUUCCACAAACCGUCGAUAAUAACCUGCCAGGCCCACAAAGCUGCGAACCUCAGCAACAUUCGUCGGGCGCGGCCAACUCUCAAUGGCCUCCACUUUCCCCGGGUCCACAAAAACACCGCCCUCGAAAAUGACAUGCCCGAGAAACGCGACUUCUCAAAGCCAGAAGUCACACUUCUUCAGCUUUGCGUACAACUUCUUUUCCUGAAGGAUUUGAAGUACAAUGCGUAAAUGCUCCACAUGCUCCUCUUUAUUGCGCAAAUAGACCAAGAUGUCGUCUAUGAAGACUACGACAAAUCGGUCUAGACACUCCCUGAACACUCGAUUCAUCAAGCACAUGAACGCAGCCGGGGCAUUUGUAAGCCCAAACGGCAUCACAGUGAACUCGUAGUGUCCAUACCGCGUGCGGAAGGCGAUCUUCGGAACAUCCUCCGGCUUGAUCUUCAACUGAUGGUAGUCGGAUUGAAGGUUAAUCUUCGAGUACACUCGCGACCCCUGUAGCUGAUCAAACAAGUCGUUGAUGCGGGGUAACGGGUACUUGUUCUUCACAGUGACCUUAUUGAACUCGCAGUAGUCCACGCAGAGUGUAAAAGAUUCGUCAUUCUUACGCACGAACAAUACCGGGGCUCCCCACGGUGACACGCUCAGCCUAACAAACUCUUUGUCAAGAAGAUCCUGCAAUUGAUCUCUCAACUCUUUCAGUUCAGCCGACGCCAUGCGAUAAGGGGCCUUUGAUAUCGGUGCGGUCCCAGGAAUCAAGUCUAUCAUGAACUCAAUCUCCCGGUCCGGCGGCAUUCCUGGUAACUCCAUGGGAAAUACAUCUGGGAACUCCCGCACAAUCGCCAAUUCUUCGAGAGUCGGAACUACUCGAUCGACUUCCACGAGGUCGCCAAAUAAGUCGUGCAACCACUGUUGACUAGCUUCCUCGCUCUUGUCGCCAACACCGUCGCGGCGAAACACGAACUCUGGCAAGCUCAAUACGUGAACUCCUCGUGUCCCGUGUCACGCCCCGAUGCCGCUACCAAUUUGGUCCGGUUCGAGCGCGUCGAACAGACGCCGAACGGACAGCACCUCCCCUGUCCGCCCAAGGCUAAGCAACCAGAUCAUGUACAAAUAAGCGCCCAGGAAUGCUUAGAUAACAUACAUGAUCAAACAUAGUGCACACAAGUGCAAUACAUCUUAGAGCAAGAACCACAAGUAAUAUACUAGUGUAUAAAGAGAGAUAGUCUAACUAUUACAUUCAUUCAAUAGUUACAUCAUUUGAUUGCAUUACAUUUUUCAUCUACCGAAAUGUAAAUACAUAUUUUCCUCAAAAUACAAGUAGCUCUCCCAUAUCUAUCCAAACAUCAUCUAGUACACGAGGGUACUCUAAUGCAUAAAGGAAAAGCUACCAACUAAACUCACUUAGGGCGCUAUGCCCUUACCGCGGUCCUCACUUGACUCGCCUCUGUGUGUNGCAUCAUUUAAACUGUACUUGGAUCCCUAUCAUCCUCAGGGUUGUAACUAAUAUAUAGUACUAACACGUCGUCUCCGUGUAACUGGGAUCAUCUGUCCCAUAGGAGAACACUCCUAACCUAGUAUGAGUGAUCAGAUAAAACGAACAGCUACCAGCGAGGUGGCUCCGUGCUCAGAGGCCUCAUGAAGUGAUCUCCGUCUGCAUCAACAGGGCGUCUGCCAAAGCCACACGCUCACGUCAAAGAGGAGUGGAUACUCUAACUCUCACUCAGCUCCCAAAUUGGAAGCCCAAUUGGUUCACCUAACCCAUUAUUCAUACUUUACGUAUCAUCUGAACGUAAUAAUGGAACUCAUCUGUAUCACAUACAACAUCAAAUGUAAUGAUACGUGGAAAUAUAUGAGUACUGUACUAUAAUCGUACUAUCAUCAACAACGUACGUAAUAAUAGUAACCACCGUACUAUCUCAUCAACGUCAAAUAGAAACAUAUAGAUAGAUAGAGAGAUAGACACGAUCGAAUCUGGAUCACCCUUUUGGCCGCCGCAGCCGCCGGCUUGGGUGACCCUUGAUAUAAAUAUAUCAAGAGUGGGGCACACCUAGACUCGAUGCCACUCGUUCGAUCAUUGUAGUAAGUUUUCUAUUAGUUGACAUGCCACUCGUUUAAUGCCACUCUACUGGGCUAUCAUACGUCCAAGUUCGGCUCUUUAUGCCAUUAUAGGAUUCUAUGCCAUAAGACCCAAUCCUCAUGCUAUCCUAGUCUAGGUGUUCAACUCAUAGGUACACUACUAAGAAGCAUGCAAGGAAAAAGAAAAUAUACAUCUAUUAAUCCUAUAAUGCAAUAUGAUCAACACAUAUAUAACUUAGACAUAAAAAGAAACCCGGAUGUUCCAGAACGACACCCCCCACCUCUUGAGGGUAUGAAGGCUCUAGAAAUGUGCCUCGGCGUCCUUUACGACGAAGCCUCGGUCUUCUCGUCCAAAGCGAUGCUCAACCGGCCUUAUUUUGUCGAUAGCUUUUGACCCGCUCGACGAAUUGAAUUUUCGACUUCGCCCCCGCGUUUCGUUACCUAGCAAUUAGGUUUUCAAGGCUUCAAAUGAGAUCAAUCUCAUACUUUACCAAAAACCCUAUUUUGGUGCCCUAGGGUUAGCAUCAAGCUAAACCCAUCUCAAAACCCUAGAUUCUAGCUCUAAUCCUUCCAUUCAUGGUGCUAGGAAUCCAUUUGAUCCCAUCCGAAGAGCUAAAACCCCAAAAACCCCAAAUCUCACAAGCUAGGGCUAGAAACUUACCUCUAGGUUAGCUUAAAAGAGAGAAGAGAGGAUGAAGGAGAAGUCCAAAAGCUUCCUUUUGUUGAUCUCCUUCUUCUUCUCCUUCCUUUUCUUCCUUCUUUUCCUUCUCCUUUCUUCUUCUCCUUCUUUUUCUCCUUCUUUUUCUCCUUCUUUUCUAGAGAGAGAAAGCAAGAGAGUGUGAGGGAGGGAGAGAGAGUGGACUGAGAGAGAGUGAGAGGGAGAGAGGGACUAAUAAGCCCUCUAAUGUAACAAUAUCCAGCUGGCCCCCCCCACUUUUCACUCUGUGCGCAGCCCUCACUGGGCGUUCUGCGCGCGGAGGGACCGGUCUCCCCGACUUGGGACCGGUCCCCGAGAGCUUCAGCUCGGGUCACGCGUUCGGGUACCGGUCUCUCCCAGAGAGACCGGUCCUCGGGAGACCGGUUCCUUCCUGAGAGACCGGUUCCCGAGAGCUGGGACUUCAGGACUUAGCCAAUUUUUGGCUUCUCGUGCUGGGAUCACGUUCGGGAACCGGUCCCUCACUGCCAGGGACCGGUUGCCUCAAGCAACCCCCGCAACACCAGCCGAUGGGACCGGUCUCUCCCUGCCAGGGACCGGUCCCCGAGAGCAGUUUUGCUCCAGUGCAGAUUUCGCACUAUUUGCUCUCGUGGACUCGUUUUCAAUGCACUUUUGGUGAUUUUAAUAUCUUUGAUUUUUUUUUCCAAAGUACACCAACACGACCGUUGGUCGGUUCGGGAUGAAGUCAAAUCUCUCGUAUUUCGAGAAUUCACUUCCUCACAUCCCGGCACCCGAAAUAUGAUCACUCUAGCUUUGCAGUCGAUAGACACAUAAUACUUCGAGAGCCAAUCCAUGCCUAAUAUUAUGUCGAACUCUUUCAAUCUUUUGAGUACCAAUAGAUCGACCGGCAUAACCCAGUCGCCUACUUGCACUGGGCACGCCAAACACCACUUCCUAACAACAAAUGACUGUCCGGGUCCUUCUACAUGUCAAACGUUCUCCCCUAGACGAAUCUCGACAUCAUGCUCUUGAGCAAAUGAUCGGUUAAUGAACGAGUGAGACGCGCCAGUAUCCAAAAAAGCCCUUGCUCGAACACUGUUAACCAAAAUCAUACCUGCCACCACAUUGCGCUCCUCGGCUUCGGUGGGUUCCUCGACUUGCACUUGAGCGGCAUACACCCGGCCGCUCAGAGCCGAUCGUGCUGGUUCAGGUUGGUGUGGCGCCGCCGCACGUCCAACCGACGCUGCAGCAAGUGGAACUCCAUAACGAGCCGAAAUCGCCAGGGCCGAUGCAACAGACGGGGCAGGAGAAGCUCCUCCCUGAGGACAGUCACGUGCAAUGUGUCCGGCUUGCCCGCACUUAAAGCACUUUCCUCGGCGCUGCUCACAUACACUAGGUCGGUGGUCACCGCCACAAAAGAUACACCGCUGUGCUCCGCGGCCCUUCAAUUGCGAUCGUGGAUACUUCUGGGGCUUCCUAGAACUCGAUUGUCCCCCCGAACUACCGCCCGGUCGCUUCCUCUCUUUGUCCUUCUCGUACAUCUCACGAUCCUCACGCUCGCAAGCGUUCUCGUGCUCGACCCACAAGGCACGGUCCAAGGCCUUCUCAAAAGUAUGGAACUUGAAGGCAUGCACCGUCCGAAACACUCCUGGUCGGAGUCCUCUCACGAAGCAAUCUGCUCGGUCUUGCUCCGUUACCGCAACGUCCGGGACGCAAUUCAAAAGAUGGGUGAACUCCCGCUCGUACUCCCGAACCGUGCGGUUGCCUUGCUUAAGCUUCCUGAAGUCUUCCCGCAUCUUCCGCCUAUCACUGUCGGGGAAGUACUCCGCAAACAACAGCUUCCGGAACUCCUCCCAAUCGAUCGGGGUAAGAGCCGGAGCUCGAUCUUGCUUUACUCGCUUCCACCACACUUGGGCCCGUUUGUCGAAACAGUGUGCGGCCAAAUUCACCUUAUCUCGCUCCUCAGUGUAGAUGUCCUCGAACAGGGUCUCCAUUGUCGCUAACCAUGUCUCCACUGUCCAAGGAUCUAUCACAUCUCCGUCGAACGUAGGCCGGUGAAAUUUCGUGAAUCUUGUGAGAGCCAUGUAUCCCGGCUCUCGCUCCGCCUCCUCAGCCGCCACUACAGGCGUAGGAAAACUCGACACCGCAGGAGGAAUAUCCACCGGUGGGGGUUGCGCCGCCACCGGAACCGGCGCAUCGCCCACACCCUCAGCCGCAUUAGGAGUGCGAACCGAAGGGGCAGGCGGAUCACGGCCUAGACCAACUGCCGUCGCUGCCUAUCGCUCCAACAUCUCCUGGAGCCGAUCGAACCGUCCCGUUAGCGCCGCAACCUACGCUCGCAACUCUUGUACCUCACUAGGCCCAGCUGGCUCUGGCGCCACCGGAGGCACAGCUGGCUCGGGCAGCUCUGGAGGUGGUGCCGGAGCAGUCCUACACGCAUAACGUCUCUUCGGUGCCAUUAGCUCCUGAAACGCAAACAGUUGGUUAAUUAUCUAACCCAACAACGUCUUCGCAAUUACGAAACGACAUAGUUCAACUAUGUUAAUCAGACGGAAGCUCAUAAGUGUACCCGUUCUCGACUCUCGGCAUUGUGUUGUCAGCCGCCAACACAACCGCCUUGAGCCAAGGACUAGUAUCACUCAAUUCACCUCUAGCAAUUACUAGAGUAUCAACACCAACUUUGACCCAAUCGAUCAACUUCCGCCGUGUCAUAGGUUCACGUCGCACUCACGCACCUAUAAUCCUCAAGGUUCACCAUCCUAAAGUCUCCUAGGUCCACCCUAGACUCUCUCUUCUACUUGCUCUUACUCGCUCUGAUACCACGACUGUCACGCCCCUGCCCCGAGACCGCUAUCAAUUCGAUACGGUUCGGGCGCGGCGAGCGGACCACCGAACGGACAGCACCUCCCCUGUCCGCCCAAGGCUCAAACGACGAGAUUGUGUACAACAAGUUUCCAGGAAAACAACUUGAAUACAUACACAAUCAUUCAACAACAACGAAAGCACAAAGAGUGCUAUGCGAUACGAGAGCAAGCAUCACGAGUAAUACAACCAUACAAGUGAAAAAAAGAGAGAUAUACUUAACUACUAAACUCAUUUAACUUUAUACAAUUAUUACAAUUUGCAUUCUUCCAAACCCGUACAAUAUAUAUACAAUCCUCUCAAAACCUCACCCUAUACAUCGAUCUACUCUCAAAAUAGGUACAGGGUAACUCUAGUGCAAAUAGGAAAGUAAACUGCUACAAUCUCUAGGGCGCUAUGCCCUUACCGCGAUCCUCACCGGGGGCGCUCGAGCUCGGACCUGCAACAUGGUGGAGUGAGAACUACGAAUAGUUCCCAGUGGGUUCGGCCACCGACUCCGCCGAUCUCCACACUAGGUCUAAGCAGGCAUAGAGAGACACUAGAUAGGUAGAUAGAUAUUUGGAAUUGAAAGCAUUACUGAUAAUUAAACAAGUAAACAUCUAACUAUGCCUCAAUUCGAUGUAAUGCAUGCAUGAUAAUCAUAGUAAAGGUUGACUACUAGUCUACUAUGUUCAACAAUAAAGUUAUUCAUUAGAUCACCCAAUCUCUCGGCUAAACUGAGGUUCGCUCUCAGUCUCA